CAGUCGCCGCGGUAAUACAGAGGGUGCGAGCGUUAAUCGGAUUUACUGGGCGUAAAGCGUGCGUAGGCGGCUUUUUAAGUCGGAUGUGAAAUCCCUGAGCUUAACUUAGGAAUUGCAUUCGAUACUGGGAAGCUAGAGUAUGGGAGAGGAUGGUAGAAUUCCAGGUGUAGCGGUGAAAUGCGUAGAGAUCUGGAGGAAUACCGAUGGCGAAGGCAGCCAUCUGGCCUAAUACUGACGCUGAGGUACGAAAGCAUGGGGAGCAAACAGGAUUAGAUACCCCUUUAGUCCCUGUCUCUUAUAC
rnacentral:rRNA from 1 species